CUGGAAUGCAUGAUUAUAAUCUACUAGAAUAAAAGUAGCCCAAUCUCCAAUGCCUAUCCCUAUUUGGUUAUUUUUUGGGUUCCAUCCUUGAGAGAGUUCAUAGGUGUUUGACAAAUCAGUUAGUUUUCAUUGUUUACAAAGAAAGCAUUUCUAGUUGAAUAAUUUCAUAUGUGCCUGAAACACUGAAAAAUGCGGAAAACAACUUCCCCAAAACACUUAAAAAGAUUAAUAGCGUUAGGCAUCAAUGAG
rnacentral:misc_RNA from 1 species